rnacentral:tRNA from 1 species
GGACAUGUGCCCGAAAGAUAAGGAUCACUUUGAUAGAGUGAGUUAUAGGGGUUCAAA